rnacentral:rRNA from 1 species
AAGACCUUGCGCUUUUGGAGCGGCCGAUGCCUGAUUAGCUUGUUGGUAAGGUAAAAGCUUACCAAGGCUUCGAUCAGUAGCUGGUCUGAGAGGACGGCCAGCCACACUGGGACUGAGACACGGCCCAGACUCCUACGGGAGGCAGCAGUGGGGAAUUUUGGACAAUGGGGGCAACCCUGAUCCAGCCAUGCCGCGUGAGUGAAGAAGGCCUUCGGGUUGUAAAGCUCUUUCAGCCGGAACGAAAUGGUUACGGUUAAUACCCGUGAUUACUGACGGUACCGGAAGAAGAAGCACCGGCUAACUACGUGCCAGCAGCCGCGGUAAUACGUAGGGUGCGAGCGUUAAUCGGAAUUACUGGGCGUAAAGCGUGCGCAGGUGGUUUUGUAAGUCAGAUGUGAAAGCCCCGGGCUCAACCUGGGAACU